rnacentral:lncRNA from 1 species
UUCAAGUCAAAUCGUUAACUUAAAACUCAUAAUCAAGUCAUCAAAAUCAAUUUCGGGAUUCACAAAAUAUCAUGAAAUCAUUAAUCUCGAUCAGAUGGGAAAGACAUUUUUUAAGUGAUUCUUUUUCAUCUAAGCAUGCCUUUGUCUUUAUAUGCCAAAUCAAGAUAAGCAUGAAAGUUCAAGACGUAAAGGCAAAAUCUUAUACAACAACUCAUCAAGCA